rnacentral:rRNA from 1 species
GGAUGAACGCUGGCGGCGUGCCUAAUCCAUGCAAGUCGAGCGAACAGACGAGGAGCUUGCUCCUCUGACGUUAGCGGCGGACGGGUGAGUAACACGUGGAUAACCUACCUAUAAGACUGGGAUAACUUCGGGAAACCGGAGCUAAUACCGGAUAAUAUAUUGAACCGCAUGGUUCAAUAGUGAAAGACGGUUUUGCUGUCACUUAUAGAUGGAUCCGCGCCGCAUUAGCUAGUUGGUAAGGUAACGGCUUACCAAGGCAACGAUGCGUAGCCGACCUGAGAGGGUGAUCGGCCACACUGGAACUGAGACACGGUCCAGACUCCUACGGGAGGCAGCAGUAGGGAAUCUUCCGCAAUGGGCGAAAGCUUGACGGAGCAACGCCGCGUGAGUGAUGAAGGUCUUCGGAUCGUAAAACUCUGUUAUUAGGGAAGAACAAAUGUGUAAGUAACUAUGCACGUCUUGACGGUACCUAAUCAGAAAGCCACGGCUAACUACGUG